rnacentral:lncRNA from 1 species
UUGGCAAGAAUUAGGUGCCAAAUCCUAGAGGGACCCACCCCCUCUUAUUUGGCAUGGUGUGGAGGACAGAGAGGUGGGGCCACACCCCUUCUUAUUUGGAUAAAAAUCCUAUUGUUGGGCAUCAAUAGUUGGCGCCCCAACUACCUGACAUAUAUUCCUAUGAUGCCUCUUGUGUUGAAAAAUAUAUCCUAAAGCCUAUUAUCUAAGUGGUAGAUGAUUGAAAUUAG